rnacentral:rRNA from 1 species
ACCCGCUGAACUUAAGCAUAUCAAUAAGCGGAGGAAAAGAAACCAACAGGGAUUGCCUCAGUAACGGCGAGUGAAGCGGCAACAGCUCAAAUUUGAAAUCUGGCUCUUUCAGGGUCCGAGUUGUAAUUUGUAGAAGAUGCUUCGGGUGUGGCUCCGGUCUAAGUUCCUUGGAACAGGACGUCAUAGAGGGUGAGAAUCCCGUAUGUGACUGGCUGCCUCCCCCAUGUGAAGCUCUUUCGACGAGUCGAGUUGUUUGGGAAUGCAGCUCAAAAUGGGUGGUAAAUUUCAUCUAAAGCUAAAUAUUGGCCAGAGACCGAUAGCGCACAAGUAGAGUGAUCGAAAGAUGAAAAGCACUUUGGAAAGAGAGUUAAACAGUACGUGAAAUUGUUGAAAGGGAAGCGCUUGCAAUCAGACUUGCGCGCGGUCGAUCAUCCGAUGUUCUCACCGGUGCACUCGACCGUGCUCAGGCCAGCAUCGGUUUCGGUGGUUGGAUAAAGGCCUUGGGAAUGUGGCUCUCUUCGGGGAGUGUUAUAGCCCUCGGUGCAAUGCAGCCUACCGGGACCGAGGACCGCGCUUCGGCUAGGAUGCUGGCGUAAUGGUUGUAAGCGACCCGUCUUGAAACACGGACCAAGGAGUCUAACAUCUAUGCGAGUGUUUGGGUGUCAAACCCAUACGCGUAAUGAAAGUGAACGGAGGUGAGAACCCUUAAGGGUGCAUCAUCGACCGAUCCUGAUGUCUUCGGAUGGAUUUGAGUAAGAGCAUAGCUGUUGGGACCCGAAAGAUGGUGAACUAUGCCUGAAUAGGGUGAAGCCAGAGGAAACUCUGGUGGAGGCUCGCAGCGGUUCUGACGUGCAAAUCGAUCGUCAAA